CCUACGGGAGGCAGCAGUGGGGAAUUUUGGACAAUGGGCGCAAGCCUGAUCCAGCAAUGCCGCGUGAGUGAAGAAGGCCUUCGGAUUGUAAACCUCUUUUUGUCAGGGAAGAAACGGGUUUUUCUAAUACAGAGACCUAAUGACGGUACCUGAAGAAUAAGCACCGGCUAACUACGUGCCAGCAGCCGCGGUAAU
rnacentral:rRNA from 1 species